rnacentral:rRNA from 1 species
AAAUUGAAGAGUUUGAUCAUGGCUCAGAUUGAACGCUGGCGGCAGGCCUAACACAUGCAAGUCGAACGGUAACAGGAAGAAGCUUGCUUCUUUGCUGACGAGUGGCGGACGGGUGAGUAAUGUCUGGGAAACUGCCUGAUGGAGGGGGAUAACUACUGGAAACGGUAGCUAAUACCGCAUAACGUCGCAAGACCAAAGAGGGGGACCUUCGGGCCUCUUGCCAUCGGAUGUGCCCAGAUGGGAUUAGCUAGUAGGUGGGGUAACGGCUCACCUAGGCGACGAUCCCUAGCUGGUCUGAGAGGAUGACCAGCCACACUGGAACUGAGACACGGUCCAGACUCCUACGGGAGGCAGCAGUGGGGAAUAUUGCACAAUGGGCGCAAGCCUGAUGCAGCCAUGCCGCGUGUAUGAAGAAGGCCUUCGGGUUGUAAAGUACUUUCAGCGGGGAGGAAGGGAGUAAAGUUAAUACCUUUACUCAUUGACGUUACCCGCAGAAGAAGCACCGGCUAACUCCGUGCCAGCAGCCGCGGUAAUACGGAGGGUG